rnacentral:lncRNA from 1 species
ACUCCUCCCUUCCAAAUUUCGAUCGACGGCUAUCGAAAGAGCUUAAUCGAUAGGCUGCCGACGGCAUCAAGGACAAUAGACCCUUUAAGCCACUGUGAGGGAGAGCAAAAUUGCUGGUUUUACCAAGAUCCAACAGUUCUUUCCUCUCUUCCCUCUUGUUCUUCAUUUUUUUUUAAAUUUUUAGGGUGGUUGCUGAUAGCUUGGCGUGGGUGGCACCGG